AAAGACUUACAUCUCUUCGGAGCAUUUUACGAGGUGCUGCAUGGUUGUCGUCAGCUCGUGCCGUGAGGUGUCGGGUUAAGUCCCAUAACGAGCGCAACCCCUACCUUUAGUUGCCAUCAGGUUAAGCUGGGGACUCUAAAGGAACUGCCUACGCAAGUAGUGAGGAAGGCGGGGAUGACGUCAAAUCAGCACGGCCCUUACGUCCAGGGCUACACACGUGCUACAAUGGCCGAUACAGAGGGCAGCUACCUGGUGACAGGAUGCAAAUCUCCAAAGUCGGUCUCAGUUCGGAUCGGAGUCUGCAACCCGACUCCGUGAAGUUGGAUUCGCUAGUAAUCGCGCAUCAGCCAUGGCGCGGUGAAUACGUUCCCGGGCCUU
rnacentral:rRNA from 1 species